rnacentral:tRNA from 3 species
GCGGGUGUAGCUCAGCGGUAGAGCAUCAGCUUCCCAAGCUGAGGGUCGCGGGUUCGAUCCCCGUCACCCGCUCCA